UUACGGCCAUAUCACGUUGAAACACCGGUUCUCGUCUGAACACCGAAGUUUAGCAAAGUCGAGCUUGCUUAGUACCUAAAUGGGUAACCACUUUAGGAUAUCAUGUGCU